rnacentral:ncRNA from 1 species
UGUCCGCGGUAAACACGAUCAGUAGUUGCCGCGCCGAGAAGCGAUUCUCGGGCAACAACUUGGCUAUAUGCUGGAAAGGCCGAGUAUCCAGUGCUAGUCCGACGUCAUGCCGGACUGAAAAUGCAUCUGGUGCGGUCAAUCAGCAGGAAAGAUUUCGGUUGCAAAACCGGAAAAUCCUCAGAGGCCAUACGCCGAGCUCCCGCCACGGCAUGAGACACUGCGGCGGGAUGAAGAUAUGGUCCAUACUUCCUGGCGACAGGAAG